AUGAAGCAUUGCACUCUGAGGAUCUGUGGAGACAGACCAGCCCUUUCAGCCUGAGGGAGAGGCCCGGAUUUUCAUCUGAUGUCUCUCCUUUUCACCUGAGAGAAUUAAGAUAAUCAUCUCUUGUGCCUCAAGAAAUCAUUAUCAGCUGGGUGGUGGUGCAAGCCUUUAAUCCCAGCUCUCGGGAGGCAGAGGCCAGUGGAUCUCUGUGAGUUUGAGGACAGCCUGGUUUACAGAGCGAGUUCCAGGACACCUGAUUUACAAAGGGAAACCCUGUCUCAAAAAAGAAGAAAAGAAAAAGAAAAAGAAAGAAAUAAUCGUCCACAUUUUAUUAUCCUAGAAAUUCUAUUGCUUUUACUAAAUAUAUUUGUUACAUUCA